rnacentral:lncRNA from 11 species
CUCCAUUUGCAAAUUGGAUGUGAAGUCAGCAACUGAAGUCAGCAGGCAGUUUCUGAUUGACAUCUCGGAGGUGACCUCUGCCCGGCUGCCUGCCAUCUCCUCUCAACCCGUCGUGCUUUUUAAAAACCGCAAAAGAGCCAUUUGGCACCUUGAGGGUGCCCUGACCUCACUUCUGCUUUCCAAGGCCAUGUUGGGAAAGGUGGUCUUGGUCACAAGGAGUUAUUAUUAAAACACAACUAGCUGCCUUCCUCCUCAUUAUUAUUAUUUUCUGGAUGGCUCAUGUAUGUAGUAUGAAGCUGAAACUUCCUUUAGGCAAACUAAGGCUUUGGCAUCAGCAGUGCUUUUGACUUCAACAAGGAUGUGAUCGAGUGAACCUGAAAAGCAAAGUAAAAUAAAGAGGUUAUGAAGAUCCACUGGAGACUAUGAAACAUAAUAGGUAUCCAACGCUAUGCCAGUUUCAGAUCACUUGAAUUCUCAUGGCUUCAUCCCAAGGAAUCUUGAUCAAGGAAGGCUGCCUCAUGACCCAAGAACUCUAA